UACGAGGAAAGAACCAACAGGGAUUGCCCCAGUAACGGCGAGUGAAGCGGCAACAGCUCAAAUUUGAAAUCUGGCCCCUUUGGGGUCCGAGUUGUAAUUUGCAGAGGGAGCUUUUGGCGUAUGCCGUGGUCUAAGUUCCUUGGAACAGGACGUCACAGAGGGUGAGAAUCCCGUACGUGGCCGCCGGCCUUCGCCUUGUAAAGCCCCUUCGACGAGUCGAGUUGUUUGGGAAUGCAGCUCUAAAUGGGAGGUAAAUUUCUUCUAAAGCUAAAUACCCGCCAGAGACCGAUAGCGCACAAGUAGAGUGAUCGAAAGAUGAAAAGCACUUUGGAAAGAGAGUGAAAAAGCACGUGAAAUUGUUGAAAGGGAAGCGCUUGCAGCCAGACGUGCCCGCGGUUGAUCAUCCAGGCCUCAGCCUGGUGCACUCCUCCGCGGGCAGGCCAGCAUCAGUUCGGGCGGUCGGAUAAAGGCCUCUAUCACGUACCACCCCUCGGGGUGGCCUUAUAGGGGAGGCGCAACACGGCCAGCCCGGACUGAGGUUCCGCGCAUCUGCUAGGAUGCUGGCGUAAUGGCGGCAAGCGGCCCGUCUUGAAACACGGACCAAGGAGUCUAACAUCUAUGCGAGUGUUUGGGUGUCAAGCCCGAGCGCGUAAUGAAAGUGAACGGAGGUGGGAACCCUCACGGGUGCACCAUCGACCGAUCCUGAUGUCUUCGGAUGGAUUUGAGUAAGAGCAUAGCUGUUGGGACCCGAAAGAUGGUGAACUAUGCCUGAAUAGGGUGAAGCCAGAGGAAACUCUGGUGGAGGCUCGCAGCGGUUCUGACGUGCAAAUCGAUCGUCAAAUUUGGGCAUA
rnacentral:rRNA from 1 species